rnacentral:rRNA from 1 species
UCCAGACUCCUACGGGAGGCAGCAGUGAGGAAUAUUGGUCAAUGGGCGAGAGCCUGAACCAGCCAAGUCGCGUGAGGGAAGACGGUCCUAUGGAUUGUAAACCUCUUUUGCCGGGGAGCAAAAAGCGGUACGUGUACCGCAUCGAGAGUACCCGGAGAAAAAGCAUCGGCUAACUCCGUGCCAGCAGCCGCGGUAAUACGGAGGAUGCGAGCGUUAUCCGGAUUUAUUGGGUUUAAAGGGUGCGUAGGUUGUUUUAUAAGUUAGCGGUGAAAUACCGAUGCUCAACAUCGGGGCUGCCGCUAAUACUGUAGGACUAGAGAUCGGAUGCAGCAGGCGGAAUGUGUAGUGUAGCGGUGAAAUGCAUAGAUAUUACACAGAACACCGAUUGCGAAGGCAGCUUGCUAGGCCGGAUCUGACACUGAUGCACGAAAGCGUGGGGAUCGAACAGGAUUAGAUACCCGCGUAC